UACGUAGGGUGCGAGCGUUAAUCGGAAUUACUGGGCGUAAAGCGUGCGCAGGCGGCGCGUUAAGACAGGUGUGAAAGCCCCGAGCUUAACUUGGGAAUUGCGCUUGUGACUGGCGAGCUGGAGUGUGGCUGAGGGAGGUGGAAUUCCACGUGUAGCAGUGAAAUGCGUAGAGAUGUGGAGGAACACCGAUGGCGAAGGCAGCCUCCUGGGCCAGCACUGACGCUCAUGCACGAAAGCGUGGGGAGCAAACAGG
rnacentral:rRNA from 1 species